CAGCCGCCGCGGGAAAACGUAGGGUGCAAGCGUUAAUCGGAAUUACUGGGCGUAAAGCGUGCGCAGGCGGUUCGCUAAGACAGAUGUGAAAUCCCCGGGCUUAACCUGGGAACUGCAUUUGUGACUGGCGGGCUAGAGUAUGGCAGAGGGGGGUAGAAUUCCACGUGUAGCAGUGAAAUGCGUAGAGAUGUGGAGGAAUACCGAUGGCGAAGGCAGCCCCCUGGGCCAAUACUGACGCUCAUGCACGAAAGCGUGGGGAGCAAACAGGAUUAGAUACCCCCGUAGUCCCUGUCUCUUAUAC
rnacentral:rRNA from 1 species